rnacentral:rRNA from 1 species
AACGCUAGCUACAGGCUUAACACAUGCAAGUCGAGGGGCAGCACAGUGUAGCAAUACAUGGGUGGCGACCGGCGCACGGGUGCGUAACGCGUAUCCAACCUUCCCGAUACUCAGGGAUAGCCUUCCGAAAGGGAGAUUAAUACCUGAUGGUGUUCAAAUUCCGCAUGUUAUUUGAACUAAAGAUUUAUCGGUAUCGGAUGGGGAUGCGUGACAUUAGAUAGUAGGCGGGGUAACGGCCCACCUAGUCUACGAUGUCUAGGGGUUCUGAGAGGAAGGUCCCCCACACUGGAACUGAGACACGGUCCAGACUCCUACGGGAGGCAGCAGUGAGGAAUAUUGGUCAAUGGUCGGAAGACUGAACCAGCCAAGUAGCGUGAAGGAUGAAGGUUCUAUGGAUUGUAAACUUCUUUUAUACGGGAAUAAAACCUCCCACGUGUGGGAGCUUGUAUGUACCGUAUGAAUAAGCAUCGGCUAACUCCGUGCCAGCAGCCGCGGUAAUACGGAGGAUGCGAGCGUUAUCCGGAUUUAUUGGGUUUAAAGGGAGCGUAGACGGGAUGUUAAGUCAGUUGUGAAAGGCUGCGGCUCAACCGCAGCACUGCAGUUGAUACUGGCGUCCUUGAGUGCGGUUGAGGUGUAUGGAAUUCGUGGUGUAGCGGUGAAAUGCUUAGAUAUCACGAAGAACUCCGAUUG